AUUGAACGCUGGCGGCAUGCUUUACACAUGCAAGUCGAACGGUAACAGGCCGCAAGGUGCUGACGAGUGGCGAACGGGUGAGUAAUGCAUCGGAACGUGCCCAGUCGUGGGGGAUAACGCAGCGAAAGCUGUGCUAAUACCGCAUACGAUCUAUGGAUGAAAGCGGGGGACCGUAAGGCCUCGCGCGAGUGGAGCGGCCGAUGUCAGAUUAGGUAGUUGGUGGGGUAAAGGCUCACCAAGCCAACGAUCCGUAGCUGGUCUGAGAGGACGACCAGCCACACUGGGACUGAGACACGGCCCAGACUCCUACGGGAGGCAGCAGUGGGGAAUUUUGGACAAUGGGCGCAAGCCUGAUCCAGCAAUGCCGCGUGCAGGAAGAAGGCCUUCGGGUUGUAAACUGCUUUUGUACGGAACGAAACGGUCCUGGUUAAUACCCGGGGCUAAUGACGGUACCGUAAGAAUAAGCACCGGCUAACUACGUGCCAGCAGCCGCAGUAACAC
rnacentral:rRNA from 1 species